rnacentral:lncRNA from 1 species
GGUUUGUCUUGAAUGCCAACAUAGAUUUUGAGAUGACUAUGAUGUAGUAUGAUAGGAUGGUAUUCUCCUUUGAAUGAUUCAAGUGGCUUGACUUGGCGCAUGUUCAUGCAUGUAGUUGAAACAAAAUCAACAUAGCCUCUAUGAUGUUCGUGUUCGUGGUGAUUUAUAUCUUGUUCAUGCUUGCAUUCAAUGUUAGUCAAACUCAUUGCAUCUUGAUGACUGUUGUCGCUCUCUAGUUGGUCGCUUCCCAGUCUUUUGCUAGCCUUCACUUGUACUAAGCGGAAUACUGCUUGUGCAUCCACUUCCAUAAACCCAAAAGUUUUUCCAUGAGAGUCCACCAUACCUACCUAUUUGCGGUAU